AAAUGACCUUUUAUUAAGUCCUUUAGUAAGGAUCCAUUUCAUGGCAAGUAUGAAUCGAACAACUGCAGAAUCCCAGCUGCAAUGGCGUAUAUGUGGAUGUUGUAAAGGUUAAGAAGCUCACUCUUAUAUUUCAGCUUUAGAUGGAUGAUCCGCUUAUCGGAGGUCGUUCUUAAAUUUUUUUGGUCAUUUGGCCUAUAUCUUGGCAAUGAUCUGCAGCGAUUGCCCUGAGUGGCCGGGGACUAUACGUUGAAAAAAUGAGGGUGCUUAGAGUAGGCGCUACGCUUGGAUAAUGGUGCAUAAUACAAUGGAUUAGGACAUCGGGGUUAUUUUGUUGGUCUUCGGAGCCCAAGGCAAUGCGAUUAAAGGAAACAUUCGGGAGCACUGGUGCUCCCGAAUGCCAAAGAUAAAAAUCUUAGACCGCUGAACACGAACGUCCAUGGAAAACUUUUCCAAUAAUGUUUCCAGCAACCAAGAACAUAAGAUUGUGAUUUAAACACG